GACGAACGCUGGCGGCGUGCUUUACACAUGCAAGUCGAACGGUGAAGGUGGAGCUUGCUCCGCCGGAUCAGUGGCGAACGGGUGAGUAACACGUGGGCAACCUGCCCCUAACUUUGGGAUAACUAACCGAAAGAGUAGCUAAUAACGGAUAUGAAGUCUGUCGGCAUCUACGGACUUGGAAAGUUUUUCGGUUAGGGAGGGGCCCGAGGCCCAUCAGCUUGUUGGUGAGGUAGUGGCUCACCAAGGCGACGACGGGUAGCCGGCCUGAGAGGGCGACCGGCCACACUGGGACUGAGACACGGCCCAGACUCCUACGGGAGGCAGCAGUGGGGAAUAUUGCGCAAUGGGCGAAAGCCUGACGCAGCAACGCCGCGUGCGGGAUGAAGGCCUUCGGGUUGUAAACCGCUUUCAGCAGGGAAGAAGCGAAAGUGACGGUACCUGCAGAAGAAGCACCGGCUAACUACGUGCCAGCCGCCGCGGUAA
rnacentral:rRNA from 1 species